AACUUUCAACAACGGAUCUCUUGGUUCCAGCAUCGAUGAAGAACGCAGCGAAAUGCGAUAAGUAAUGUGAAUUGCAGAAUUCAGUGAAUCAUCGAAUCUUUGAACGCACAUUGCGCCCCUUGGUAUUCCGAGGGGCAUGCCUGUUCGAGCGUCAUU
rnacentral:rRNA from 1 species